UAAAAACAUACAUAACUUACAUGAACUAUAGCUCAUUUUUUAAUUUAUUACCCGACUUUCUAAAAUUUUAAUUUUACUAUCAAAUCCUUCAAUUUUGAAUCAAUCAACAGUGCUUUGACUUUAAAAUUUAAGUUAAUUACUUACUUUAAUAAAUUUAUAGUUAUGAGAAUUGCACAAAAUAUACUAGUGAAACGAUCUGUGAAAAUAAAUAAUGCAUUCAAAUUUUGAAGUCAAAAUGCUAUUAACUGAGUAAAAUUUAACAAGAAAGGAUGGGCAGUUAAAUUAAAAUUUUAAAAAGUUAGAUAGCCAACUAAAAAUGGUUCAUAAUUCUGAUAAAUUUUGAAUGUUUUUGCAAUUGCAAUUUGAUAAUAUCGUCUAAAAAGUGCUGUUAGAAGAAUCAUU
rnacentral:lncRNA from 1 species